rnacentral:rRNA from 1 species
CCUACGAGCUGCUGCAGUGGGGAAUAUUGGACAAUGGGCGAAAGCCUGAUCCAGCCAUGCCGCGUGUGUGAAGAAGGCCUUCGGGUUGUAAAGCACUUUCAGUGGGGAAGAAAGCCUUGGGGCUAAUACCCUCGAGGAAGGACAUCACCCACAGAAGAAGCACCGGCUAACUCCGUGCCAGCAGCCGCGGUAAUACGGAGGGUGCGAGCGUUAAUCGGAAUUACUGGGCGUAAAGCGCGCGUAGGCGGUCUGAUAAGCCGGUUGUGAAAGCCCCGGGCUCAACCUGGGAACGGCAUCCGGAACUGUCAGGCUAGAGUGCAGGAGAGGAAGGUAGAAUUCCCGGUGUAGCGGUGAAAUGCGUAGAGAUCGGGAGGAAUACCAGUGGCGAAGGCGGCCUUCUGGACUGACACUGACGCUGAGGUGCGAAAGCGUGGGUAGCAAACAGGAUUAGAUACCCUAGUAGUC